UUUUAUGCUUUGAGCGAAUGAGUAAGCUGAUUGGAAGAUUAAAGAGAGCCGCGAUGGUGGAAAACGGUAUCCGAAAAUGGUUGAAGAUGGUUCGUGAUUACGCAAACCAUAUUAAAUAAUCAGGUAUGGUCGGCUGCCGCCGUUAUCCGGUUCGAGAAGUAUUCUUCUCGUUAAGGGAUUAUUUUGUGAAAAGUAAUCCGAAUAAAGGUGGUAACACGUAAAAAACGUCCUUUUG
rnacentral:ncRNA from 1 species